rnacentral:rRNA from 1 species
CAGCCGUAAACUAUGCUCGCUAGGUGUCAGGCAUGGCGCGACCGUGUCUGGUGCCGCAGGAAAGCCGUGAAGCGAGCCACCUGGGAAGUACGGCCGCAAGGCUGAAACUUAAAGGAAUUGGCGGGGGAGCACAACAACGGGUGGAGCCUGCGGUUUAAUUGGACUCAACGCCGGAAAUCUCACCGGAUAAGACAGCAGAAUGAUUGCCGGGCUGAAGACUCUGCAUGACUAGCUGAGAGGAGGUGCAUGGCGUAGACGUCU